rnacentral:rRNA from 2 species
AGUGAAGCGGGAUGAGCUCAAAUUUGAAAUCUGGCUGGUUUUACUGGUCCGAGUUGUAGUUUAUAGAGGUGUUUUCGGUGGCAGCCUGGGUAUAAAUCCUUUGGAAUAGGGUAUCAUGGAGGGUGAGAAUCCCGUCUUUGACCCAGGUUCAUGCUACUAUGUGAUACAUCUUCAAAGAGUCGAGUUGUUUGGGAAUGCAGCUCUAAAUGGGUGGUAAAUUUCAUCUAAAGCUAAAUACAGGCGAGAGACCGAUAGCGAACAAGUACCGUGAGGGAAAGAUGAAAAGAACUUUGAAAAGAGAGUUAAACAGUGCGUGAAAUUGUUGAAAGGGAAACGUUUGAAGCCAGCCGUGCGGGCGGAAAAUCAGCCUAGCUGUGGUGGGGAGCUAUUGGAGGUUCGGAGCGCAAGCCCGGCCUUUGGUGGCAUCUUUGUCACAAUGGGUGCACUUUUUCGUUUGCAGGCCAACAUCAGUUUGCUUCGCUGGAAAAGGCCUUGAGGGAAUGUGGCAGCUUUGGCUGUGUUAUAGCCCUGAGGAGAUACAGUGGAGCGGACUGAGGAGUCGCAGCGUGUGCUUUCGGGCAAGGUAGACUGGGUGCUGUGGGAUGGGGCGAGGUACAAUGCAUGCAUUUUGCUUCGUCUUUUCUGUCCUGCACUCGCUCAUCUCUACUCUUCCACGCUUAGGAUGUUGGCAUAAUGGAUUUAAACGACCCGUCUUGAAACACGGACCAAGGAGUCUAACAUAUAUGCGAGUGUUUGGGUGGCAAACCCAUGCGCGAAAUGAAAGUGAACGUAGGUGCGAUCCGCAAGGUGCAGCAUCGACCGAUCUUGAAUUUUUAGGAUAGAUUUGAGUAAGAGCAUAUAUGCUGGGACCCGAAAGAUGGUGAACUAUGCCUGAAUAGGGUGAAGCCAGAGGAAACUCUGGUGGAGGCUCGUAGCGAUUCUGACGUGCAAAUCGAUCGUCAAAUUUGGGUAUAGGGGCGAAAGACUAAUCGG